rnacentral:lncRNA from 1 species
AAGCAAGUUUUGAUUUUAUAGUUUAUCUUUUUAUUCUGAAUGUGGUUUAAAUAUUACAUACUAUAUUGUGAUAAUGGAAAGCGGAGAAAUGAUUGUUCCUCUAUUUCAAAAUAGAAAUAAAUAAAUCGACCGACAUAUCACUAUAUACUUUUUACACUUAUAACUCUUAACACCCUCACUCGAACUAUCAGAAUGUUCACGAUGAAGCUAUAUAUGUUGGGAGGGAAAAAAGAAUUAAAAAAGAAUCUCUUAAAGAGAAGAAAAGUAAUAUUUAUUGGAGUGAUUUGAAAAUGGAAUAAAGAAGGUGACGGUAAAGGGGAUAAAAGAAGAUAGUCAUAAAUUAUCAAGACUAGAUGACUGGAGAAAUGAAUUAAAAUAAAAAAACAGGCAUAGAGUAAAUGUAUGACCGAGCGUUGAUUCGAUAUCAACGGGAGU